UCUCUUCUCUUCUUUUUUCUUUUCUUUUCUUUUUUUUUCUUUUUCUUUUCUGAAAUAGAAGUUGUAUAUGAGGGCUUCCUGCAGUACUUUGAGCUCAGGGUUGGCCAUCAGGUGGCAUACACAGUACUUAGAGAGGCCAGUGGAUAAAGGAGAGUGGUUUCUUCGCUCUGUUUAAAGCAGAACUGUUUUUGCCAGCCCUCACAACUGGAUUCUCUCUUGGCCAGGCAAGUGUGUUUGCCCAUAAUACAUUCAGUCCUCAAAACGAGACAUUAGAAUUUGAGGAUGAAAGCAGGUUUUUGUAGUGGAAAUAUUGCAAAGAUGUUCUGCCAGAAGAAAAUCUUUUUUAGCAACUUGAGCAUCCAACUCAAAAUAGCAGCUCAUGAUGUUGGAGUCACUGCUUUCAUCCAGCACCACAGUGAAAAGCUUUGAGCUGGCAUGGCUCAGCAGUCUGCAGGAGGUACGAUGACAGCUUCCUAAGGGUGCAGAUUGCUUUUGUUCUCCAGAUGAAAACACUCUUACCAUGUCAGUCUCAACAUCCCCUUCACCAACCUGGCAAAGCAAGGAGCACGCGGAGAAUGGGAACAUGUUGCUAUGGCAUCAUUGGCAAACAACAAAUUUGGUAGAGUUUACUCCAGAAGAUAAAAAACCCAGAGCAGUUGUUAGGCACAAAAGGAAUAUAUUUGCUGGUGCAUAAAUAGCGGCACUGCAAAACUGAUGUAUUUCUUACAAAUAAAUGCAAGUUAUUUUCUCACAUCUUGGUAGAAAUGCUAACACAAUUUCAGGGAAGGAGGGAGAAGAACGAGUCAAAGAGCUCACCAGCCUCAAAGAUCUAGUAGCUUAACAGAUGAGAAUUUACAGUUUCUAGAUCCCUACCUGACUGCAGGCUCUUUAUUCUCAUUAUAACCUUGUCCUGGGAUGUGUAAAUAAGACCUUAUAAACCCUCCUAUGAAAUGCUUCAUCCAGGAUGGCCAAGGCCUUCAUUAAACACUGUGUUUGGUUUUAGACAUUCAUCUCAAGAAAAAUGGGGACAAGAUGGAUAAAAUCUAGGUAGAAGCAAUAACAACCAGUACUCUAGAAAUCUUGGCUUAAUGAUGCAAGACUAUGCAGUCUUAGGACUGUUUUCCAUAAAAUGUGACCAACCUGAUAUGUGAUACCAGACUCAAAUACCUCGGGGACUACUGCAGAGCAGAAGGAAAUAAUGUGUUCUUUGUGGUGGAUAAGACGAACAGCAGCAGCUUCAAGUGAAAGAAGAGAGAUGUGGAUUAGAGAUGAAGAGAAGCUGCCUCAGACCAAGAAUGGGAAACUAGUGGAAUAAAUGGCUGAGGACAAACUGGAAUCUCUAUCACUGGAGGUUCCUGAGACCUGGUUAGAUACACCUUUGUUGGUGUGGCAGAGAAUGAUUUUGUCUUAGCAUGAAACAGAAGGGUAGAUUAGAUAACUUUUUUGAGGUCCCAUCUGGUCCUUUUCUUUUUUUUUCUUUCGAUGUUUGGAUUAUUUGAUAACUGUCAAGUCUGUAAUAAGCACAGAUCUCAGAAUCACCAUUUCAUUAGCUUGUUUGUUUGUUUUCUGACAGGAUGCAUUUUACUGUACUGAUACAUAGAAUCAUCAGUUUAAUUCUUUGUAAAAUCUAAUGGCUUUAUACUGCAGUGCUUUUGAUACUAGGUGUGUCUUAGAGAUACAUAGAGUUUUAAAGAAAUUACUGUCGAGAAGAUGAAAGGACAUAAUUUUAACUAGGCUAUUUUAACAUAACUCAUCAUCAUAAUGUUACCUCACCAUCACAGUCACUCCUUCAAAAAUAAGGGGAUGAAGCAGAGGAAAAGUAUCCAUGCUGGCUUUGAAAAGGAAUUUCCAUGUUAAAAUACUUGGCCACAAAUACCAUGCACAUAAACACAAACUAGGCAGCUGUCAGAUGUGAUAGAAAUGAAAUACAGUGAGAAUUAUGCUUUUUCCAUGUUUAGUAAUAAAAUGUAUGAAGGCAUAAGAUAUGGAUGCAACAUCCAAAACAGUAAGCGUCUAUGAUCCAAGUUUUCCAAUAAAGGUCCAUACGAACUGAAGGAGUGUUUGCAGUAUCAUCUGAAUCCAGGCAAGUUUAAUCCAAGGAGAGCAUUCAGCCUCUCAUUGCUGCAAUUAUGCCUGAAACAAUUAACCAAAAGCACCUGUCUCCUCUCAGAAGGUACAACCAUGCCACUGCAAAGAUGCUCUGAAGGCCCCAGUGAGAUCCAUGGGCAGCCCCAGUCAAUAUUCCAGAGCAGGCCCCUCUCAGCCAAACAGUUCUCCCUGAGUACAGCUCAGCGCUUUGCUCAGAAAGGCACACUGCCAUGAAACGUGCCCAAGGCCCUCCUCUGCUCCGCUGCAAUUUCUGUGUUUCACCUACGGUGCCUGCUCUGUGUGCUGGUAUACCUCAGCUACACAGCUUCUCGCUUCAGGCCAGAGUAUCUGUAUUUCUCCCUUCGAGAUGGCAUGCAACCAGGUAAAUUCAAGUAAAUUCUUCGCUUUAAUUCUUGUCACCGUCCCAAGGAGGUUGGCACAGUGCCGCAGAGCUUUGCCGGGGGAAGCGUGAGCAGCUCUUUGUGUGCUGCCACAGGGCAGACAUCACUGCAUGAAGCAAUCUUCUCCCGUGCCUUCAAGUAGGAACUUGAACAUCAUCACAAGGAUGGUUUAAGACUCAUCCUUUUCUCCAUCCCACCUCUCUGCACAGGAUGGCCCCAGUUCUGCUUCCUGAAGCCUUGGCGACCUGCAUGGUUCGCUCACAGGAGACUGAGGUUGCCUCCAACCCCACAGGCCCUGUGCCAUUCUGUGGGGUCACAUAACCCAAGUUCUACCAGGCAGCAAUCUCCACAGCAGGCUGUGGGGUGGCCAGCAGGUGGGACUCUACCAACGGGCAACCACAGCCUGUGCUUGGCUCUGCAGCCUUCCAUUUUCUCCUCUCCUGUCCCCGGCCUUGGUGUCCUGCUCUGGCCUAAGCCUCCCAGCCUGGAUGCCUGCCCUCCAUGCCUCCUCCAGCCUUGGGCCUCAACUUUUGCCCUGAUUCCUGCUUCCACACAGCUUCAUCUCACCCUCCGGCCUUCAUUUCUGCUCUAUUCAGGAGGUAAGAGCCCUGUCCCACCCAAGCCCUGGUAUAUGGGUGUGGUAGCACCAUGUGGGAUUUAACACUGAGGCGGUGCUCAGAAUGAUUCGAGGCCAAAUGGAUUCCUCCCACACCUUGGCUACCCCAGGAGAGCAGGGAUACGCGCACGUUACCCCUGCGAAGCUGCGUGCGGGGUCCUGACACUGCACAGCUCCUGUUUUCAUGUCAUUCCAAGUAGCCUGUGAGUGAUGCAGGUCUGCAGUGCACAGACAGGACCCUUGCCAUGUUGAAAUGCCUUCCAGCAGCAACCACCCAUGUUGGCAGGCUAUUAAGUUUCUACAGAAUUUUGACAAGUCUCCAGAGGAACAUCAAACCAUCCCAAAUCUCCUGAGGGGCUAAGAAUUU